rnacentral:rRNA from 1 species
GAUGAACGCUGGCCGCGUGCCUAAUACAUGCAAGUCGAGCGAACAGACGAGGAGCUUGCUUCUCUGAUGUUAGCGGCGGACGGGUGAGUAACACGUGGAUAACCUACCUAUAAGACUGGGAUAACUUCGGGAAACCGGAGCUAAUACCGGAUAAUAUUUUGAACCGCAUGGUUCAAUAGUGAAAGACGGUUUUGCUGUCACUUAUAGAUGGAUCCGCGCUGCAUUAGCUAGUUGGUAAGGUAACAGCUUACCAAGGCAACGAUGCAUAGCCGACCUGAGAGGGUGAUCGGCCACACAGGAACUGAGACACGGUCCAGACUCCUACGGGAGGCAGCAGUAGGGAAUCUUCCGCAAUGGGCGAAAGCCUGACGGAGCAACGCCGCGUGAGUGAUGAAGGUCUUCGGAUCGUAAAACUCUGUUAUUAGGGAAGAACAAAUGUGUAAGUAACUAUGCACGUCUUGACGGUACCUAAUCAGAAAGCCAGGGCUAAGUACGUG